GGAUUAGAUACCCUGGUAGUCCACGCCCUAAACGAUGCGAACUGGACGUUGGGUGCAAUUGAGCAUUCAGUGUCGAAGCUAACGCGUUAAGUUCGCCGCCUGGGGAGUACGGUCGCAAGACUGAAACUCAAAGGAAUUGACGGGGGCCCGCACAAGCGGUGGAGUAUGUGGUUUAAUUCGAUGCAACGCGAAGAACCUUACCUGGUCUUGACAUCCACGGAAGUCUGCAGAGAUGCGGAUGUGCCUUCGGGAACCGUGAGACAGGUGCUGCAUGGCUGUCGUCAGCUCGUGCCG
rnacentral:rRNA from 1 species